GGCUGGGGAGGUUUCACUGAGGACAGAGCCCAGCCAGUAGGAUAAGAGCCAGGAGGCACGCAGAGAGGAGGUGGCUGACCCAUGCAGAAUGCCGGGGAGCAGGUGUCCCGUCAGGAGACUGAUGUGUAGGUUUUCUUUUUCAGGGCCUGAGGCUGCCAAGCACGGGAAGGGACCUGGGACCUUGGAGUUGGCUGAAUCCAAUUGCCCUGUUCUGCUCUGUGAUGCCUCAGAUUGGCCACGCUGGCUGCAGAGAGCACUGGGCCCUGAGCAAAUGAAGUGGGGGAGAAGGUCUGCUGUCCUCUCUGACUAGGCUGGUGACAGACAGCCCCGUCUGCAGGAAAGAAGGGACAGAAGGAUAUGUGGUUGUUGAGGGAUUGAUUCAGCAAAGCUCAUCCUGUUGGAUGGCAUUUUUAAAAGCUUGUUUUGAGGGCGCCUGGGUGGUUCUGUUGGUUAGGUGUCCGACUCUUGGUUUUGGCUCAGGUCAUGAUCAGGUCGUGAGAUCGAGCCCCUUGUCAGGCUCUGUGCUCAGCACGGAGCCUGCUGAAGAUUCUCCAUCUCCCUCUCCCUCUGCCCCUCUUGUCCUCUAAAAUAAAUAAAAUGAGAUA
rnacentral:lncRNA from 1 species